rnacentral:rRNA from 1 species
UACGAAGGGGGGCUAGCGUUGCUCGGAAUCACUGGGCGUAAAGGGUGCGUAGGCGGGUUUUUAAGUCAGGGGUGAAAUCCUGGAGCUCAACUCCAGAACUGCCUUUGAUACUGAGAAGCUUGAGUCCGGGAGAGGUGAGUGGAACUGCGAGUGUAGAGGUGAAAUUCGUAGAUAUUCGCAAGAACACCAGUGGCGAAGGCGGCUCACUGGCCCGGUACUGACGCUGAGGUGCGAAAGCGUGGGGAGCAAACAGG